rnacentral:rRNA from 1 species
AGCUUGCUUUUUAUGAUGGCGACCGGCGCACGGGUGAGUAACGCGUAUCCAACCUGCCUGUUACCAGGCACAGCCCGGCGAAAGUCGGAUUAAUGCCCUAUGUGGUGCGAGGAUGACAUCUGAUUCGCACUAAAGAUUUUAUCGGUAACGGAUGGGGAUGCGUCUGCAUUAGGUAGUCGGCGGGGUAACGGCCCACCGAGCCGACGAUCAGUAGGGGUUCUGAGAGGAAGGUCCCCCACAUUGGAACUGAGACACGGUCCAAACUCCUACGGGAGGCAGCAGUGAGGAAUAUUGGUCAAUGGGCGGUAGCCUGAACCAGCCAAGUAGCGUGAGGGAAUGACGGCCCUAUGGGUUGUAAACCUCUUUAGUCGGGGAAUAAAGUUCGCGACGUGUCGCGUUUCUGUAGGUACCCGAAGAAUAAGGACCGGCUAAUUCCGUGCCAGCAGCCGCGGUAAUACGGAACGGUCCUGGCGUUAUCCGGAUUUAUUGGGUUUAACAGGGAGCGCAGGCGGACCUGUCAAGCGGGCAGUGAAAUGUCGGAGCCACAACUCCGUCACUGCAUGUCCGAACUGCUGGGCUUGAGUGCGCGCGAGGGAAGCGGAAUUCUAGUGGUGUAGACUGGUGAAAACUGCUUAGAUAUCACGAAGAACUCCGAUUGCGAAAGGCAUGCUUCCCAGAGCGCAACUGACGCUAAAGCUCGAAAGUGCGGGUAUCGAACAGGAUUAGAUACCCUGGUAGUCCGCACGGUAAACGAUGGAUGCCCGCUGUUCCGGCGUUUGUUUGGAGCGGCCAAGAGAAAUCGUUAAGCAUCCCACCUGGGGAGUACGCCGGCAACGGUGAAACUCAAAGGGAAUUGACGGGGGCCCGCACAAGCGGAGGAACAUGUGGUUUAAGUUCGAUGAUACGCGAGGAACCUUACCCCGGGCUUGAAAUUGCAAGUAGAUACGAGUACAGAGAUGUUGAGGCCCCGUUCGGGGGCUGCUGUGAAGGUGCUGCAUGGUUGUCGUCAGCUCGUGCCGUGAGGUGUCGGCUUAAGUGCCAUAACGAGCGCAACCCCUCUCCGUAGUUGCCAUCGGGUGAUGCCGGGCACUCUGCGGACACUGCCACCGCAAGGUGUGAGGAAGGUGGGGAUGACGUCAAAUCAGCACGGCCCUUACGUCCGGGGCUACACACGUGUUACAAUGGGGGGCACAGAGGGACGCCGCCGGCAACGUCGGUCCAAUCCAUAAAUCCCCCCUCAGUUCGGACCGGGGUCUGCAACCCGACCCCGCGAAGCUGGAUUCGCUAGUAAUCGCGCAUCAGCCAUGGCGCGGUGAAUACGUUCCCGGGCCUUGUACACACCGCCCGUCAAGCCAUGAAAGCCGGGGGCGCCUGAAGUCCGUGACC